UACAGAGGGGGCAAGCGUUGUUCGGAAUUACUGGGCGUAAAGGGCGCGUAGGCGGCCCGCUAAGUCGAACGUGAAAUCCCCGAGCUCAACUCGGGAACUGCGUCCGAUACUGGCGGGCUUGAAUCCGGGAGAGGGAUGCGGAAUUCCAGGUGUAGCGGUGAGAUGCGUAGAUAUCUGGAGGAACACCGGUGGCGAAGGCGGCAUCCUGGACCGGCAUUGACGCUGAGGCGCGAAAGCUAGGGGAGCAAACGGG
rnacentral:rRNA from 1 species